UACGGGGGGGGCAAGCGUUGUUCGGAAUUACUGGGCGUAAAGGGUUCGUAGGUGGCUUGCUAAGUCAGACGUGAAAUCCCUCAGCUUAACUGGGGAACUGCGUCUGAUACUGGCGAGCUUGAGUGCAGGAGAGGAACGCGGAAUUCCAGGUGUAGCGGUGAAAUGCGCAGAUAUUAGGAGGAACACCGGUGGCGAAGGCGCUGCUCUGGGCCGAUACUGACGCUGAGGAGCGAAAGCGUGGGUAGCAAACAGG
rnacentral:rRNA from 1 species